AUUGAACGCUGGCGGCAUGCUUUACACAUGCAAGUCGAACGGUAACAGGGUGCUUGCACCGCUGACGAGUGGCGAACGGGUGAGUAAUGCGUCGGAACGUGCCGAGUAGUGGGGGAUAACGCAGCGAAAGUUGUGCUAAUACCGCAUACGUACUGAGGUAGAAAGUGGGGGACCUUCGGGCCUCACGCUAUUCGAGCGGCCGACGUCUGAUUAGCUAGUAGGUGAGGUAAAGGCUCACCUAGGCGACGAUCAGUAGCGGGCCCGAGAGGAUGACCCGCCACACGGGGACUGAGACACGGCCCAGAGUCCUACGGGAGACAGCAGUGGGGAAUUUUGGACAAUGGGCGAAAGCCUGUGCCAGCCAUGCCGCGUGUCUGAAGAAGGCCUUCGGGUUGUAAAGGACUUUUGCCGGGGAGGAAAUCCCCAGCGUUAAUACCGCUGGGGGAUGACAGUACCUGAAGAAUAAGCACCGGCUAACUACGUGCCAGCCGCCGCCGUAAUAC
rnacentral:rRNA from 1 species